UGGUCCAUGAUGACUAGCCCACUGCGCAAUCUUAGUUCACAUGAACAAUAUGGUAGAAAACGUGCUGUAUGAAAGUCUGAGACCG